rnacentral:rRNA from 1 species
GGAGUUAGCCGGUGCUUCUUCUGCGAGUAACGUCACAGAUGUAAGGUAUUAACUUACACCCUUUCCUCCUCGCUGAAAGUGCUUUACAACCCGAAGGCCUUCUUCACACACGCGGCAUGGCUGCAUCAGGGUUUCCCCCAUUGUGCAAUAUUCCCCACUGCUGCCUCCCGUAGGAGUCUGGGCCGUGUCUCAGUCCCAGUGUGGCUGAUCAUCCUCUCAGACCAGCUAGGGAUCGUCGCCUAGGUGAGCCUUUACCUCACCUACUAGCUAAUCCCACCUGGGCUUAUCCAUCAGCGCAAGGCCCGAAGGUCCCCUGCUUUCCCCCGUAGGGCGUAUGCGGUAUUAGCAGUCGUUUCCAACUGUUAUCCCCCACAAAUGGGCAAAUUCCCAGGCAUUACUCACCCGUCCGCCGCUCGUCAUCUUCAAAAGCAAGCUUUUGAAAUGUUACCGCUCGACUUGCAUGUGUUAGGCCUGCCGCCACGCGUCAUCUGAGCAUAAUACAACUACUGA